rnacentral:rRNA from 1 species
GACGAACGCUGGCGGCGUGCUUAACACAUGCAAGUCGAACGGAAAGGCACUACUUUUGUGGUGUGCUCGAUGGGCGAACGGGUGAGUAAGACGUAAGUAACCUGCUCUAGUCUUUGGUGUAACUUCAGGAAACUAGGGCUACUACCGGAUAGCAUCUCAUGCUGCAUGGAGGGCGUUGGAAAGUCUCGGCGGGUGGGGAUGGACUCGCGGCUGAUCAGCUUGUUGGUUGGGUAGUGGCUUACCAAGGCUUUGACGGGUAGCCGGCCUGGGAGGGUGACCGGCCACAUUGGGAUUGAGAAACGGCCCAGGCUCAUAAGGGAGGAAGCAGUGGGGGAUAUUGCCCGAUGGGCGGAGGCCGGAUGCAGCACCGCCGCGUGGGGGAUGACGGCCUUCGGGUUGUAAAACCCUUUCGCCAGUGACGAAGCGUGCGUACCGGAACUGGGUAAAGAAGAACGGGCAAACUAGGUG